AUUGAACGCUGGCGGCAGGCCUAACACAUGCAAGUCGGACGGUAGCACAGAGAGCUUGCUCUCGGGUGACGAGUGGCGGACGGGUGAGUAAUGUCUGGGGAUCUGCCCGAUAGAGGGGGAUAACCACUGGAAACGGUGGCUAAUACCGCAUAACGUCGCAAGACCAAAGAGGGGGACCUUCGGGCCUCUCACUAUCGGAUGAACCCAGAUGGGAUUAGCUAGUAGGCGGGGUAACGGCCCACCUAGGCGACGAUCCCUAGCUGGUCUGAGAGGAUGACCAGCCACACUGGAACGGAGACACGGUCCAGACUCCUGCGGGAGGCAGCAGUGGGGAAUAUUGCACAAUGGGCGCAAGCCUGAUGCAGCCAUGCCGCGUGUAUGAAGAAGGCCUUCGGGUUGUAAAGUACUUUCAGCGGGGAGGAAGGCGAUGUGGUUAAUAACCGCAUUGAUUGACGUUACCCGCAGAAGAAGCACCGGCUAACUCCGUGCCAGCAGCCGCCGUAA
rnacentral:rRNA from 1 species